rnacentral:tRNA from 1 species
CGCAGGGUAGAGCAGUCUGGUCAGCUCGUCGGACUCAUAAUCCGGAGGUCGUUGGUUCAAAUCCAACCCCUGCUA